AUGCAGUCGAGCGGACAGAUGGGAGCUUGCUCCCUGAUGUUAGCGGCGGACGGGUGAGUAACACGUGGGUAACCUGCCUGUAAGACUGGGAUAACUCCGGGAAACCGGGGCUAAUACCGGAUGGUUGUUUGAACCGCAUGGUUCAAACAUAAAAGGUGGCUUCGGCUACCACUUACAGAUGGACCCGCGGCGCAUUAGCUAGUUGGUGAGGUAACGGCUCACCAAGGCAACGAUGCGUAGCCGACCUGAGAGGGUGAUCGGCCACACUGGGACUGAGACACGGCCCAGACUCCUACGGGAGGCAGCAGUAGGGAAUCUUCCGCAAUGGACGAAAGUCUGACGGAGCAACGCCGCGUGAGUGAUGAAGGUUUUCGGAUCGUAAAGCUCUGUUGUUAGGGAAGAACAAGUACCGUUCGAAUAGGGCGGUACCUUGACGGUACCUAACCAGAAAGCCACGGCUAACUACGUGCCAGCAGCCGCGGUAAUACGUAGGUGGCAAGCGUUGUCCGGAAUUAUUGGGCGUAAAGGGCUCGCAGGCGGUUUCUUAAGUCUGAUGUGAAAGCCCCCGGCUCAACCGGGGAGGGUCAUUGGAAACUGGGGAACUUGAGUGCAGAAGAGGAGAGUGGAAUUCCACGUGUAGCGGUGAAAUGCGUAGAGAUGUGGAGGAACACCAGUGGCGAAGGCGACUCUCUGGUCUGUAACUGACGCUGAGGAGCGAAAGCGUGGGGAGCGAACAGGAUUAGAUACCCUGGUAGUCCACGCCGUAAACGAUGAGUGCUAAGUGUUAGGGGGUUUCCGCCCCUUAGUGCUGCAGCUAACGCAUUAAGCACUCCGCCUGGG
rnacentral:rRNA from 1 species